AACUGUCUUUCCAUCUUCAUUUCAGAGUGGAGGAGGCCGGCCUGGCGGUGCGUGGCGAUCUGCAUCUGCCCUUCGCCGGCGGGUGCCUUGCGCUGUUUUCCCGUCCGUGGUUGCUUUUCCUCCCCCUCUCCCUCCUGAAAACCCUAGCCGCCGCCAUGGCGUCGCUGCUCAAGUUCUCCUCGAGGAAGAGCUGAUUCGGAGGGGAUUGAGGAUCACGACCUACACCGGCGCGUCGCCGGCUCCGUGGUGACUGGCAGCAGCGGUGGUUGUCCGCAGCAAUCCAUUCCAUGGGGCUCUCCUUCAUGGUGCUCAGCUGGCACCGGGUGAGAGCUAGGAUAAAAGGAGGCAGAGAGAGACAUGAUGGUGUGUGUGGAGGAAUUAGCAUGACAGUCCCGCUUUGUGUCCUUCGCCUGGGUUUGCUAGAAGAUGGGUGCUGCUUAUCGCUUUUCCAUCUCGCAGGGUGACUUAUGUUUGAAGAGGAGAUAAUCAUCCGAUAAUGAUAUGAAGCGAUGAAGAAUUUAACCAUGUGUAGUAAGAACAUAUAUGGAAGAUUCUGUCAUCAAGUAAGAACCUUUUUAGUGAAUUGAAAAAAUGUUUCAAAUUUCGUUUUACAGACCUGAAAUAUUCAAGGAUAUCUCUGAAUUGUAUUUGACCAUUUGAUUCACCCAAUGUAGAUUUAAUUAGUUACUAAAUUUGUGAGCAUUUGAUUCACCAAAUAUAUACAUUUAGUUAGUUGCAGAACACUGGUGGGUGAAAACGCCAUGGAUAGAUACAAGAAACAAGCCCCAAACAGAGGAUGCAAAAUGAUUAAUUAGUACCCGAGAACUUGACCUAUACAUUUCACCUACAGUUCUAUAAUCCACCCACCAGCAUCACAGAUCCAAAUUUCAUCAUACAUGCAUCCCUUUUGUCAAUAGUAUCAUGUAGCCAGCGGAAACAUACAAUUAAUGUCCAAGUUGUAACACCACAUUGAUUUAUGUACCUUGAAUAUUUUCGAUUGCUUUUCUUGAAAGACCUUUUAAUCACCGAAUUAGAAUAUGUUUUGAUUUGUCCAUAACACCUUGCUGGCAAGGACCAACUUGCAUUUAUGUGCCUGAAAAUCUUGCGAAUUUUACUGUAUUGUUAUCUCUCCUGUUGGAAAUACCUCUAGGCUGAAACAAUUUUGGUGUGGUAGGCUAAAUUCCUUGGCCCUCGCACCCCCAAACUUUACGAUCCUCGGUUUUAAUACACUUUGCCUAGAUAUUCUAAAUAAACUGCCGGUAUGGGAUAUUAGGACGAGUAAAUCGACACGCUCCUUGAUGUUUUGAUUAUGAUAUCAUCUUUGCAACUACUGUGCAUGUUAUGAAAUAAUAAAGUAGGGAGCAAUUCUUGGGUUUGGUUGGCACCUUUUAAUCUUCUGCACAUCACUGGAGACGAUGACUCAUAGGAUCAGUUCCCUCCUUGGACUUAAGCUUGCAACGGCUUAAAUCAUCAGCCUGCACCAUAGCACACAAGGAGUGAUCCUGGUGGCAGUCCAAAGGUAUAAGUUCCAUCUUUGUUUACAAGUUUAGGAAGUAGGUGUGCAUCUUUGUUCAGAAGUUCAUAAAGUAGAACUUCUUGUUUUAUGAUGCAUAGGCCCAUGUGGAGGCACUGCUUCCAAAACAUGCAGGUAAUCAUCAUUGUUGUCGACAACAAUGAUGGGGAGUGUGUUGUUGAGGCCAACGACGAGCUUGACCUGCCCGUUGCUAUACUUAGCAUAUAGGGCAUCCUUGCCAAAAUCAUUGAGAGUGAGAGUUUAUGUUUCUGUUUUUAGGAUUUGGUGGCAACAAAAUUAUUUAUUGGCUUGCAAGGUGACACUCAGAAUGGGAAUGGGCCGGCUCGACCCACUGGGUCACUGGCCUGACCCAAAAAAACAGGGCCAUUGGGCCAGUCGGGUCGGCUUCAUACAAAAAACGGGUCAGUGAAGCCGACACCGAAUUACCCAAUGGGUCAGCAGGGCCGACCCACAUUGGAUUCUAUCGUAGCACUCAACUGGCUCUAAUUGGUCACCGCUUGAAAAGUACUCUGCUUAGUUAUUUCCAUUGUUCCAUUACGUAGUUUCCGCGAGUGGUACCAGCUCCUAGCAUGCAGAUCGCUAUCUGAGCCAAUUAGUAUAUGUACCAGCUCCUAACAACGACGCAAUUAGUAUUACCGUGGUCCGUGCUUAGUAUAACAAUAUGCAAAUAGCCUCAGCUAGCUAUGGAAUGUAGUGCCAAUUAGCUAUCAGCUAGCUACUUCUGUACCGUACUGGAAUCAACUGAACUUUUUUUAAACAUAGAAUCAACUGAACUUUGCUAAACGGGUGAGAGCUGAAACUAGAUUAGUUGUUCUUUAUAACAACAAAAAAAACGCACAAAAGCUAAAAUCUGGGCCGGCCCCUCGUACCCAUUUGGGCCAGCGAGGCCAGUGACUUCACUCAAUCUGGGUCGACCCGUGGCCUCUCAAACUGGCCUCAAGGCCAGCAGGGCCAGGUCCAGGUCGACCCAUUCCCAUCCUUAGGUGACAGUAUAUUGAUACUGGCAUCUUGCCGAAAUGGAUUGGGACUGAGAGUAUAUUUGUUUUUUUGUAUCCUCCUUUAUAAUUCUGCUACUGCAGUUGUUUGCUUUGCAAGGUAGCAGUAUCAACUCUUUAUUGUUCAUAGGGUGUGAUACCUGCUAAAUUCAAAUGGAAAAGUGUGAUGCUUGAACUACAUUUAUUUUCUGUGGCUUGGUUUGCAUAUAUAAGAUCUGCUUUGUAGUGGUAAACUGGCAGAUCUACCAAAUGAAAUAUGCUUGUUAGGCCCUGCCCAUUAUCAUUCCUUCUAUAAGCUUACAUAAUACAAGAAUUUAAAUAAAUGAUUUGGCAGUACAAUAUUUUUUGUUUUUUUCUUAAAAACUACAAUGCAACAUUUACUUCUUGGUACAAUACAGGUAUGAGAGAUGGUAUUAUUUACUUAUUGUUUUCAUAGUCCCAAAUUUGGUCUGUAGAUAAUAAUACUAAUACUAUGAGCAUUGCUUUCAUCUGGAAUAAUUGGCUCUAUUUAAUAAUGUCACCCGGUAGGUGACCUAGAGAUUACAGCUGCUCUUAUCACAUUGGAGAUCCACGGGCAAGGUUUCCUAUACUAAUAGCGGCACAUAUGUGAAGCCCUGUGCCCCUCGAGGCACAGUUUUGGAGUUAGGGCGCGGCAGAUCAUCGCUAAUACAUUUGCUUUGAUUUGAGGUCAUAAUAAUAGUAAGAAACUUCGAGAUGGAAGAUGAGGAAAGCACUGAUGUUUUCUACGCAUGCAAGCAGGUUCGAGUAUCUAUUGGUUGAACGUAUUCAUGUAUGGCCGUCUGAAAAGAGGUAAUUAUGGCUCAGGCUGUCGGUUACAAGGUAAUUUCUCCUCUUUCCAUCGUUCACCCGCAGUGGAGCUUGGCAUCCCUGGCAUCAUAUGCCCUAGGUCUGAGUCCUCUUAACUUUAUCUUCUGUACUGUUACUUGGCGUCAACUUUUUGAGAAUUAUCAAAAGUUUUGAUUUUUUCCUUCCGGACUUCAAUUAUACGUAGUAGUGAUGUAUUUCAGUUGUAGAACUUCAGAAAGGGGUAAAUAUGUAGAUGGGCCUUAGCUUGCUUUAGUGCUUCCUGGUUUGCAGGACAGAAAGCAGUGACAAUUAGUACAAGCUACUUCAGUAUGGAACAGAAAAUGCAGUUAGUCAAGGCCAAAUUGAGUAUUCAUAUCCCAACUUUUACCGUACAAAGUUGUAGCAAUCUAGAAUAGAGGUAGAGAGUAUGCAGGUUUGAUUGACCAAGAAUAAUCACACAUGUUGCCGUCAAUAGAUAUACCUAUCUUGUAUUUGUCAUCAUAUAAGAGGAACACACACAGAAAGUGGGAGGGCCAUUCAGGGGAGUGUAAACGUCUCAUUAUUGUUGAAGACCUUUUUCUUGAGUUGUAAAUGGAAUCUAAACAUGUCCUGCAUUCACACAUGACUAAUGAGAGUAUCUUGCAUCUACAUAUUUAUAACUUAUUGACAGCUAUGACGUCCUAUGUUUCAUUGUUCAGACUGACACUAUUCUAUUUUUUGUGCACAUAUUAGCUAAAUUUUGUCGUUGAGCAUAUCAUUUUUAUUAUUCAGCUUGUUGCGAUGGUUUAAGUAGAUUUGUUCAACACAAUUCUGCAAGCUCGAUCUGUGUUAGGAGGGACAUCUGAGCUCUCACAACUUCUCGCCAGCUUGUCCAGUAUGACCCUAUUCAUAUCGUACAAAAGAGUUUUCUCUUAUUUCUUUCUCUUAGAAAUUGUUCUCGGGUUGUUUCUUAGUUAUUUUGCAGUUUGUGUUAACCUAAUAAUCGAGCUUGAGGUUCACAUGUUUGGUAUUCGCUUCUUGGCAACUAUAUAUCCUGGUGCCUGCAAAAUUAUUUGCUAGCCAGGCAAACAAUUCCUGUAACAUGUGUUGUUUAGAGUGUACUAGAUUGAUAUUAAAAAUUGACCAAAACACAUUCAACACAUGACUACUUGGGUAUUCUAUUCUAAGCUUGUACUCCCUCCGUGCGGAAAUGUAAGACGUUGGGGAUUUAUAGACCAACUUUUUUCACGUUACGAAAUUUUCCGGGUUUCCGUUUUUGCCCUCGCACGCGUCAGGCGGAUGGUCUCGCUCGAUUCGUGCGGACAGACGCUCGAGCUCACGCUCUCUCGUCAACCUCGCUCACCCGCACCCUUCCUCGCCGGUGCGAUCUCCGUCGCCAACAUCAGCGCCGCGGUCUCCCUCGCCCGCCACCGCCCUCUACCUCGCGCAGGUCGCUGCCUCCCUUUUCCUCUUGCUUCAUCGCCUCUCCCGCGGUCUACCUAAUCUGCCGCAUCGAGCUCGACAAAAUCCGAUUUUUCCCUCCUCCGGGUAGCCGGAUCUGCAGCGGUGGUGCUCGAUCUGUCGAGCCAAGGUAGGGUGGAGCUCCAAUUGUGGUUGUGGUUGUGCGGAGCUCCAGUCGUAGGUUGUGGUGGUGUGGAGAAGUCCUCCCAGAUCUCAGCGAAGGCCCACGCCGGGGUCGGUGUUGUCCGUGGAGGAGGGCUAGAAUGAGGAAGGCGUCGUCGUAAUGGCCUUCUCCUGCAUGGCCCGCCUCACCCCCUCCCUCCCAUGGUCGGCAGCGAAGCUCCAGUUUCGCCGCCGUUGUCAUCAAGAUAUUGGUACUGUCAUGUGGGAGCUCCAGUUCCGGGGUAGCGAUGGGACUCAUGGAGAGCUGCUGCCAGAGCUGCAGCUGCCUCUCGAACUCCACUGCGUCAGGUUGAGAAGGCAAAGCAAGACUAUGCCCUAUCUGAUCUCAGUGACAUACUAAGGCAUGGCCAUUGACAUUCAGUGGGGGUGAUGGAUCUGCUCUCCAACGGCGUGGAGAAGCUCGACUUCUUCUCCGACUAGCACGACGACAACCAGCAUGGAGAAGCAAGGGCUAUGAGCCGGUGGCGGUCGGACCUGAGCAACUGCCGUGGACGGCUUCUCAGGUGGCAUAGGAGUGGGUGUGGGCAUGGAGAGGGAGCCUCGUAGAGACCAAGAAGAGGGUGGUCGAGGACUGUGCUGGCAUUGGAGGUGCGGGAGAAUCCUUGGGAAGUUGAUGCACAUGGUCUUCUACAGAGCGAAAAUUAAGAUCUGGAAGCUAUUUUCAGGCGCAACAGCUUCGGGUGGCUCGACGACCAUAGGAUGGGGCGACGACCUGGAGGUGCUUGCCGGCGUGCACGGAUUGUUGAGUUCGAUCGGCCUGCUCCUCCCUUGCCGACGCCGCCCGGUACCUCGACAACUUGCAACUGGUGGCUCCGUCAGUCACCAAAUCGUCGGUGGAGGAGGCAGUGCGUGAUCCAAUCCCUGGUGACCUCCUGGCCCUGGCGCCUCCUGGCGAAUCCCUGGACGAGGGCGAUGAGCUUCCGGCCAAGGGGAUGGCGGGCGGCUUCCGGGAUCGAUCGGAGCUGGACGUGGGCGUGGAUCGUGUGGUGAUGGGGAGGACCGAUUCUUCCCGGGGGAGAAGGGAUCUGGCUGGGGGAGGAGGAAGCUUGUUAGGGGAGGAGCGAGCUGUCUAGGGGAGGAGGAGCCGGCCGGUGGAGGAUCGAUUCCGGCGGACGACGGGGGAGGAGGAAGCUUGUUGGGGGAGGAGGAGCUGGCCGGUGGAGGAUCGAUUCCGGCAGACGACGGGGCUGGGCGAGGACGGGGAGUUGAGAUCGGGAUCUAAGUUUAGGGGUAUAGAUGUAUUUUCAUUGCAUUUUCACCUGGUCGGAAACUACUCCCAACGUCUUAUAUUUCUGCACGGAGGGAGUAGUUUGCAAUACCUUCUUAGCUUCUAGCAUGGCAAGAAGAAUACAAGACUUGUGAAUGUAUAGUUUUUAUUCAUGUUAUUCCCAAAGACUUAUUAUCCGUUGCUUGCUAAUAGAUGUACCUCUCUAUCUAUUAACUCUCUUUUGAUUAUUAGGUUUGGAACACAGUAUUAUACCUCCUCUGGAUACACCUCCUUUGGUGAUGAAGCCAUGUACAAACAUGUCAGUAUGUUCACUUGUUUACCUUAAAGAUAUAGAUAUAGAAGUAUUUUCUAUGAUAAGGCAGUACUGGUUAUAUUUUGUUUUUGUUAACUUCUAAAGAAAAACCUACCUCCAAGCUAUAUAGUAGUAUUUUCUAUGAUAAGGUAGUAAUGCUAUUGUUGCUAUGGAUUCUUGGUCCUUAAACUUAACUCUGUUAGAUGUUUUCCAUGAUAAGGACUACUCCUUCUCCCUAUUUGUAGUUUGUUUUCCCUAGGUUCUUGCAAAACAACUAUAUUAUAUUUCAUAGUUAUGGAUUACAAAUUCAUUGUUGAAUUCUUAAAAUAAACUUUGGUAUGAUGAUGCAAAAUAUGAUAUUGCUACCUGUGUUCUAGAUCAUGUCUCAUUUCAUAGUUCAUUUGUCCCUUGGCUAGUUGGAAUAGAAUCUUAGAGGUUGCACAAAUGUAUAAUAAUGUGACUCCUAGAAACCACCAGACAUUUGACGAACCCUGUUCUGAUAGAAACCACCAAAAAGACAACAUCAAUUGGUUACCGGUUCCCUCAAAUAUUUCUAAAAUUGUUCUUAAAAUCACCUACUAUUAAACAGCAUAAUAUUUUCAUUUACUACAAGAAAAUGACUGUUCCAUACUCAAAUGUAUGCACACAUUUAUUAGAACUCUUCAGAUGAAGAAGACAUGCACCCGCAGAAGUAUCCUAGGCACAAGCUGGGAUAUACCACUAUUAAACAUCAUGCCGUUUUCAUUUGUGUCUGUAUUUUCCUUGAUAUGAUCCUAGGCGUGACUUGGGUUAUACUAUGUAAUGACCUGGUAAUGCUUUUUUGGAAACGAAAUGACCUGGUAAUGUAAUAUAGAUAUAUUUUGUAAGUCAACACUUGUGACAUGUUGACAGCCUCACUUUCCCCUAUCUAUAUAUCUUUUAGAUGCUACCUUAAUUUAACAGUUUUCAUAACUUUGUUUACAUCUGUUUGCUUGUCUACUUGCCGUGGACACUGCCAUGGAUACCGAGCCCCUAGCAAUGACCCUUUAUGCCUCUGGAGAGUCGAUAGACGACGAGCUUCUGAGUAAGGGCCUUCCCCAGGUUUCUGCUCCCUGUACAUGUUCUGAAAAAGGCAGCAUAAAAACUUGGGAUACUAAUUCACGAGUUCAAGUUUACAUGCAUGGGUGACAAAGACAUAGCGGCAUAUACAGGUUAUUAUGGAUGUCCCACAACACAAAGGAAACCCUUUUAUGGAGAGUCGGGACUUCUAUGGUGAACUAGGUUGAGUACUGAGGCUAAAGAGUCAGCAUAUCUUGCUGCUUUAUCGUAUUUAAAAGACAAUGCUCUUAUAGUAGUGAAAGAUACUAAUUUUGCCAACCUAAACAAAUACACGCAAAAGCUCAAAGAAGAGCAGUUCUGGUCGUCGGUGUGCUAUGACUGUGUUUGCCCUAAAAGAGCAGUUAUCCGUGGAAGCAACAUCACUUGCUCCAUUUGUUUAGGGAAUGCAAGUGAUCAUGCUUCUACUGAGUACUGAUCGAAUUAUUCUCCAGCCAAUGGCUGCUCCACAUAUCAUACAUGAAUCGAGAUGUUCAGGAGUAAGUUUGACCAGAAUACCUGAACUUUCAUUUCUGUGUGAUACUCCCCGUCUCUUACUGUUUGCUUCAUUCCGUAUGUUAGGAUUUGUCAGAUGGAAACUACAAAUCAACACCCCCAACUGAAAUUGCAAAGGUGUCUGCCAGUGCCGUGAAAAAGAUCCAAGAAAAAACGCAGCCAAAGUGCAAUGUCUGCAGGACGCUUUUCCGUGACAAAUAAUGACUGCGCUACAAAGUACAAGGUGCUGCCACCAUUCUUCAUACAAAUUGUCGUAGGCAAGAUAUGAAAUAUUUGGACCCUCUAUGCAGUCAGCAAUCUGUCGUUACAGCUGAACAGAAGCAUGGCUUUCUCGCUCUACGAACAUGGCCCCCAAAUGUCCUGCAUAUAUGCUGUUAUAGUAUUGCAAUGCUCUGAGAAUUAUGAAUUAUGCCUGCUUCUCAAUGAGUAGAGCGGGGCCGGCCACUGUUUGAAUUGCCUAUGUAUAGUUCAGUACAAUGUUUCAGAACAACAGGAGCAAAAGCAAUUAUGUUAGUACUGCCUACUUUUGAUGUUGUAAUAGACCAUAAACUACCACGAGAUGGUAGUUAUGUCAUUUCCCAAGUUGUGUACAAUUGUAAUGACAAGUGAAUUCAACUAUGACUAUUUUACUGCUACUAAUCCUAACCUGCUGUCCAAUGUUAUUUUGCUGCUACAGAAUUGCUAUUUGUCCUAAUCUGCUGUCAAAAAGUUCAGACCAGCUAUAGCAGCUUUAUCCAUAUGAGUACUUAUAGCAAUGUUAGUAUAUCUACAUGUCUAGACCAGCGUUCUUAUGAUAAUAUCCAUGCAGUACUUGUAUUACAACAAAUUGCUUCCUGUAUUUUUCCUUUUUAUACUAUUUUUUAAAACAAGUCUGAUGGCAAUUUCAACCCUAUUACAUUCUCCUAGUGAUGUGGACUCCUAAAGUAAAUAUAUUUUGUCUGCAAUAACGUUUCUUAUGUGCAUAUUACAGGAACAUAAAAUUAACACAUCCCUGAUUUCAAUCGUAUGAUUUCGUUGGCUAUUCUUAUAUGCCUGCCUGCCGUAGGCGG